rnacentral:rRNA from 1 species
CGUGAGAACCUGCCUUGGGGUCUGGGAUAGCUGCGGGAAACUGCAGGUAACACCGGAUACGCACGAGAGUGGAAAGUUUACGCCCUGGGAUGGGCCCGCGUCGGAUUAGGUAGUUGGUGGGGUAACGGCCUACCAAGCCUACGAUCCGUAACCGGUCUGAGAGGAUGAUCGGUCACACUGGGACUGAGACACGGCCCAGACUCCUACGGGAGGCAGCAGUGGGGAAUCUUGGACAAUGGGGGCAACCCUGAUCCAGCGACGCCGCGUGGGUGAUGAAGGCCUUCGGGUCGUAAAGCCCUUUUGCCGGGGAAGAUGAUGACGGUACCCGGAGAAGAAGCACCGGCUAACUCUGUGCCAGCAGCCGCGGUAAGACAGAGGGUGCUAGCGUUGUUCGGAAUUACUGGGCGUAAAGGGCGCGUAGGCGGCUCGUUUAGUCGGGUGUGAAAUCCCGGGGCUCAACCCCGGAACUGCGUUCGAUACUGGCGGGCUAGAGACCGAGAGAGGUGGGUGGAAUACCCAGUGUAGAGGUGAAAUUCGUAGAUAUUGGGUGGAACACCGGUGGCGAAGGCGGCUCACUGGCUCGGUUCUGACGCUGAGGC